UUAUUUGUUUGUUGCAUCUCAUCAUGGCAUCAUCCCCAUUGCAUCGGCACUCGUUGCCGUCAUUGUUUUUAAAAACUGCAUCCGCUCGUAGUUGCCGCUUCUUUCGUUUCUCGGUUGACCUUGUCUCUGAUCAACCGGACCGCUCUCUUCUCUCUCUUUUCUGAGCUCAUCAAACCCCUUGCCUUCGUUGAUCGUUCCGAGACCAACCGGGUUUUUCGAGUCCCUAUCGUCUGGCCGCUUAAUCUUUCUCCACAGUGCAUAGACCCCUCGCGUGCGCGUCCGAAAUUGUCCCGAACCCGAACCGGACUAUCGUCACCGUUGGGUCCGGAUCAUCCCCUAACAUCUACAAAACAUCUCCGUUUUCUUUGUUGGACGCUCUAGCCUACUCAUUAUCGACCGCCCGAUUACGAUCGGACGGAUCGUGUUAAACCCCUACCCUAAUCCCCUACCUAUAUAAAUAGUCCAACCAUAAACUUUAGGAAGCUUGUCCCAUCCUUCCCACUCCGCCGCCACCAUCUUCCUCGGGAUCCAAGCCCGCAGCCACCCUCUCUCCUUCCCUCGUUUUCCCCACCGGACCAAUCCUUCCCCUCGACUCAGAGCGCCCCUGCAGCCUCCCGCGUCUGAUCCAGGGAGAGCAGCACCCUCCCGAGUUCCUCCAUGCCGUGCCCCUUCUCCAAGUCCUGGGCCUCUCCUCUAGCUCCCUGCCGUCGUCCCCGGCGAGCAGUUCUGCUAGCACCACCAGCAGGACAGCCACGCUCGCGCCUCUCCUUCCUUUCCCUUUCUUCUCCUGUUGCCUUUCCCUCUCAUGCUCUCUCUCUCUCCCAGGUACGCCCAUCGCCAAGCUGUUGCCGUGCGCGCCUGGAUCCGCCAUCCCCGGCUCCUCCGCGCUCGAUUCCCGUCGCUGCGCCAAGUCCCUCGCCCCGCCUCUGCGUCUCUGCUCCUUCCUCGAUGCCGAGCUCGCCAAGCUCCGCCACCUCGACCUUCUUCUCGUCGGAGUCCCGCACCAACCGCCGCUGCGAGUCGUCCUCAACGCCUUGCCCGCCUUUGGUCGCUCAGCCGGCGAGCCCAGUCGCCGAUGAAGACCCGCAGGAGCGCGUCGCAGCCGCCGCCCGGAUCCACCGCCUCCUGCCGCCCUUCACCUCCUGCCGUCGCCCGGAUCCAGCGCCCCUUCGCCAGUCCCUCCCCGGCGCCGUCUUCUGCGUCGUCGUGUUCUGCUGUUGCUUAUGUUGUAAACGAGCAGAGAACGAGCGCACGCUACCGCCCCCGCGUUGACCCGUCGCCGAGCCCGGCCUCGCGGCUUGCUUCCUCACGGGCCACAACCCACAGCUGGCCCAGCUCCCUUGCCACGGCCUGCCUGGCGUCCUCCUCUCUAGUCGGGCCUUGGCCCAGGCUUCGGUUUCGUUCCGGAGUUGUGAGGAUUCGUUCGACUUCGUCCAUUU